AUUGAACGCUGGCGGCAGGCCUAACACAUGCAAGUCGAGCGAGCGGCGGCCGGGUGAGUAAUGUAUGGGGACUGCCCGAUAGAGGGGGAUAACUACUGGAAACGGUGGCUAAUAACGCAUACUAUCGGAUAACCCAUAUGGGCGUAGCUAGUAGGUGGGGUAAAGGAUCACGUGGGCGACGAUCUCUAGCGGGUCUGAGAGGAUGAUCAGACACAUGGGGACUGAUACACUGCCCAGACUUCUAGGGAGGCAGCAGUGGGGAAUAUUGCACAAUGGGGGAAAGCCUGAGGUAGCCAUGCCGCUUGUAUGAAGAAGGCCUUAGGGUUGUAAAGUACUUUCAGCGGGGAGGCGUUACCCGCAGAAGAAGCACCGGCUAACUCCGUGCCAGCAGCCGCGGUAAUAC
rnacentral:rRNA from 1 species